AUUGAACGCUGGCGGCAGGCCUAACACAUGCAAGUCGAGCGGAUGAAGGGAGCUUGCUCCUGGAUUCAGCGGCGGACGGGUGAGUAAUGCCUAGGAAUCUGCCUGGUAGUGGGGGAUAACGUCCGGAAACGGGCGCUAAUACCGCAUACGUCCUGAGGGAGAAAGUGGGGGAUCUUCGGACCUCACGCUAUCAGAUGAGCCUAGGUCGGAUUAGCUAGUUGGUGGGGUAAAGGCCUACCAAGGCGACGAUCCGUAACUGGUCUGAGAGGAUGAUCAGUCACACUGGAACUGAGACACGGUCCAGACUCCUACGGGAGGCAGCAGUGGGGAAUAUUGGACAAUGGGCGAAAGCCUGAUCCAGCCAUGCCGCGUGUGUGAAGAAGGUCUUCGGAUUGUAAAGCACUUUAAGUUGGGAGGAAGGGCAGUAAGUUAAUACCUUGCUGUUUGGACGUUACCAACAGAAUAAGCACCGGCUAACUUCG
rnacentral:rRNA from 1 species